rnacentral:rRNA from 1 species
GCGAGUGAACCGGGAAGAGCUCAAAUUUGAAAUCUGGCGUCCUCAGGGGCGUCCGAGUUGUAAUCUAUAGAGGCGUUUUCCGCGCCGGACCGUGUAUAAGUCUCCUGGAACGGAGUAUCAAAGAGGGUGACAAUCCCGUGCUUUACACGACGACCGGUGCUAUGUGAUACGUCUUCUACGAGUCGAGUUGUUUGGGAAUGCAGCUCAAAACGGGUGGUAAACUCCAUCUAAAGCUAAAUAUUGGUGGGAGACCGAUAGCGAACAAGUACCGUGAGGGAAAGAUGAAAAGCACUUUGGAAAGAGAGUUAAACAGUAUGUGAAAUUGUUGAAAGGGAAACGAUUGAAGUCAGUCGUGUCCAUUGGGUUCAGCCGGUUCUGCCGGUCUACUCCCUUUGGACGGGUCAACAUCAGUUCUGAUCGGCGGAUAAUGGCACGAGGAACGUGGCACCCUCCGGGGUGUGUUAUAGCCUCGCGUCGCAUACGCUGGUUGGGACUGAGGAACGCAGCUCGCCCUCACGGGCCGGGGUUCGCCCACGUCCGAGCUUAGGAUGUUGACAUAAUGGCUU